rnacentral:misc_RNA from 1 species
AAAAGCUUCAACCUCUGAGAAAGAUACACAUUUUCUUUAUUUGCGAAGCACGGCACUUACGAUAAAGAUAUCUGAAAUUCAAGGCAGAAUAUGGAUAAAACAGAUAACAUUCCUGAGGUAGUGUGGCAGCCACGUGAAGAUUCUGGAGCUGAAAUGAGAAAGUUUAAAAAGUUGAUAGAAUCUAAGUAUAAUGUGACUUUAAAAGAUUUUUGGGAUUUGCACAAGUGGUCGGUGGAACACUUGCAACUAUUCUGGGCAGAAAUGUGGAAGCAAUGUGAUAUAAUUUAUUCAAAGAAUUUUGACCAAGUGGUCGAUUUGAAUAUUCCGAUGGAAGAUUCUCCUGCGUGGUUUGAGGGUGCAAGACUGAACUUUGCUGAGAACAUUCUUAAAUUUCGAGAUGAUCACAUGGCUUUAAUCUGUGCAGGUGAAGAUAGGGAAACAAUGUUUACUACUUAUGCCGAAAUGUACGAAGAAGCCACUUUGUAUACUGCUGCUCUCCGAAAAUUCGGUUUAAAGAAAGGAGAUAUUGUUGCUUGUUAUAUGUCCAAUAGAAAAGAAGCUAUCAUGUCUAUGCUUGGUGCUACAAGCAUUGGGGCUAUUUUUACGGGAGCUUUACCGAUCUUAGGGAGUAAGGGAGUUCUAAACUGCUUCAAGCUAGUUAACCCUAAGGUCCUUUUCACGAUAGACAGGUACCGGAAUAACAACGAGGAGGUGGAAAUGCUGACGAAGGUGAAAGAGAUUGCUGAGGGAUUGCCUUCUCUUGAAAAAGUCAUCAUAGUACCAUCGAAAAAAUGUUCUAAAUUGAAAGACAUCAGCAAAAUAAAAAACAGCUGUUUCUUAGAUGAAUUUCUUGAACUGGGCAGAGAAGCUGAUGGCACUGUUGCACCUUUAAUAUUCGAACAAGUAUCAUUCUCACAUCCUGUGUUCAUUAUUUACACUUCAGGCACUACAGGACCACCUAAGGCCUUGUAUGCUGGCUCAGGGAUUCUGUUAUCUACUGCAAGGGAUUGUGGGAUGUAUGGUAACCUUGAUAGAGAUACGGUUUGGCUCUCCUUUUCAGCGGUAGGAUGGGUUUCAUGGUGUAUGAUCACUGCUCUACACUUCCUUGGUUAUACAGUCAUAUUGUUCGAAAGUAAUCCUUACCUUCUUAGUCCAACGUUUUUGUGGGACUUGGUAGACGAUUUGAAAAUCACCCACCUUUUCAUUUCGCCUGGUAUUCUAGAUGAUUUGGAGAGGAAAGGAUAUCUACCGACGGAGAAACAUAACCUGAGUUCACUUAAAGCGAUAAUGAGCGGUGGAAGUGUCGUCAAGCCCCAGAAUUUUGAAUUCCAUAAAAAAGUGAAAAAAGACGUACUUUAUCAUGCUCUUUACGGUAGCACGGAAGUAAUGAUGACGGUUAUGUGGCAUGACCACUCCUUACCCGUUUAUAAGGGAGAGUUAUCUUCCCCUUGUUUAGGUGUCGAUAUCCAAUGCUUGAAUGAGGAAGGAAAAUCUGUAGUAGGUGAACCCGGAGAAAUUGUAAUAGCGAAACCUAUGCCUUCUUUAGUUUUGGGCAUAUGGGGAGAUGACGAUCGGUCUAUAUUCAAGGCUACAUAUUUUUCAAAAUUUCCAGGAAAAUUUGCAAUGAGUGACAUAGGCAUUAUUAAUCCAAAAACGAAAGGUCUUAUUAUCUGCGGAAGGAGCACGAAGGUACUCCUGCCCCUCCACUUGAAGGGCGACUGGGGAAGAACCACUUUUGCCAGAUGCGGAUGGAGAUGAAUUCUUGCUUAAAAUAUUUUAGUUCGGUCAUCAUUUGUUGAGCUCUUUAAUUCUUUCUCAGGGCAAAAGAGAUGAAAAAUCAAUGAUGCCAGAUGGACAUCCAAUUACAUUAUAAAAACAUGUGCGAUGCUACUUUGAAUGUACAAGGCUGGCGCAUUGGAACUACCCAGAUUUACAGUAUUGUUGACAAAUUUCCUGAGGUCCAGGAUAGUGUCUGUGUCUCUCAGUAUGGCAAGAAUUUAGACGAAAGGGCUG